UUUUUUUUGUUUCUUAGCCAGUUAGCUAAAAGGUCAACCCUGAAAUAAUAUUAUCCCUUGAUUGAAGCGCCCUUGAGCCUAUUAUCCCUUUUUUGUUUAAAACUCAUUACAAACUGAAAAGUGAAAAACAAUGUUAUCACCAUAUUCAAAGGGUUGAAAGAGUCUUGUUUGGAGUUGUGUGGGGUUGAAUAAUUAUGUUUGUAAUAUUUUAG
rnacentral:lncRNA from 1 species